AAACCUUUUGGAAUGUCUUUCCAGAAGAUAAAUAAAACUUAGCGAUGAAGCCGAAAUAAGUUGCUCUGAGAAAGUUGUGGACCCACAGAUUGACAGAAAACCCAAAGAAGAUACACCCACUUUUAAUCCAACCGUGAAGAUGCAGCCCGGUAAUGUGCGGGGGGAGAGGGGUGCCUUAAAUUCCACAGGCGACAGCUACUCACCCCAAGACCGGGGUUGCAGGGGUGAGGGU